UACGAAGGGUGCAAGCGUUACUCGGAAUUACUGGGCGUAAAGCGUGCGCAGGCGGUUUUGUAAGCCAGAUGUGAAAUCCCCGGGCUUAACCUGGGAAUGGCAUUUGGGACUGCAAGGCUUGAGUGCGGCAGAGGAGACUGGAAUUCCUGGUGUAGCAGUGAAAUGCGUAGAUAUCAGGAGGAACACCGAUGGCGAAGGCAGGUCUCUGGGCUGACACUGACGCUCAUGCACGAAAGCGUGGGGAGCAAACAGG
rnacentral:rRNA from 1 species